GACGAACGCUGGCGGCGUGCCUAAUACAUGCAAGUAGAACGCUGAAGCUUGGUGCUUGCACCGAGCGGAUGAGUUGCGAACGGGUGAGUAACGCGUAGGUAACCUGCCUGGUAGCGGGGGAUAACUAUUGGAAACGAUAGCUAAUACCGCAUAAGAGUAGAUGUUGCAUGACAUUUGCUUAAAAGGUGCAAUUGCAUCACUACCAGAUGGACCUGCGUUGUAUUAGCUAGUUGGUGAGGUAACGGCUCACCAAGGCAACGAUACAUAGCCGACCUGAGAGGGUGAUCGGCCACACUGGGACUGAGACACGGCCCAGACUCCUACGGGAGGCAGCAGUAGGGAAUCUUCGGCAAUGGACGGAAGUCUGACCGAGCAACGCCGCGUGAGUGAAGAAGGUUGUCGGAUCGUAAAGCUCUGUUGUAAGAGAAGAACGAGGGUGAGAGUGGAAAGUUCACACUGUGACGGUAUCUGACCAGAAAGGGACGGCUAACUACGUG
rnacentral:rRNA from 1 species